CUGCCCGUAGCAUAAUGGCUAAUGCAAUAGAUUCCGAUUCUAUAGAUUGGAGGUUCGAGUCCUCUCGGGUGGACCA
rnacentral:tRNA from 1 species